rnacentral:misc_RNA from 1 species
UUUCCGUAGGUGAACCUGCGGAAAGAUCAUUACAGAGUUCAUGCCCUCACGGGUAGAUCUCCCACCCUUGAAUAUUUAUACCUUAGUUGCUUUGGCAGGCCGUGGAAACACCAUGGGCUCCGGCUUAUGCGUGCCUGCCAGAGGAAACAAACUCUGUUUUUAGUGAUGUCUGAGUACUAUAUAAUAGUUAAAACUUUCAACAACGGAUCUCUUGGUUCUG